CAGUCGCCGCGGUAAUACGUAGGUCCCGAGCGUUGUCCGGAUUUAUUGGGCGUAAAGCGAGCGCAGGCGGUUUAGUAAGUCUGAAGUUAAAGGCAUUGGCUCAACCAAUGUAUGCUUUGGAAACUGUUAGACUUGAGUGCAGAAGGGGAGAGUGGAAUUCCAUGUGUAGCGGUGAAAUGCGUAGAUAUAUGGAGGAACACCGGUGGCGAAAGCGGCUCUCUGGUCUGUCACUGACGCUGAGGAGCGAAAGCGUGGGGAGCGAACAGGAUUAGAUACCCCUGUAGUCCCUGUCUCUUAUACA
rnacentral:rRNA from 1 species